CUUCUAGUUUUCCUGAGCUUCAAUUUGAGUUCAAUAAAUAUUUGGCCUUCAUCAGCAUGUAGACUUUGAUCCAUUGAUAAACUGCCUAUGUAGAGAUACAUGUACGAGAAUGGAAAAUCUUGAAUGAUGGAUGUCUGGGCAUGCAGGAAGCAAAGAGUAUGUACUGGUGUGAUUUACAGAUGAAGAGCCUUCGCAACGUCGAUGUUCUAUUUUCCCAGUUGUUGCAUCAUAUACCGACAGACGC
rnacentral:lncRNA from 1 species